UGACAUAUUAGCUUAAUUGGUUAAAGUGUCGUGUUAAUAACGCGAAAGUCAUAGGUUCAAUAACCAAUCCGUAAGAGAUUCAUA
rnacentral:tRNA from 1 species